rnacentral:tRNA from 1 species
UCCCAGGUGGCUCAGAUGGUAAAGAAUCUGCCUGCAAUGUGGGAGACCUAGGUUCGAUCCCUGGGUUGGGAA